AUUGAACGCUGGCGGCAUGCCUUACACAUGCAAGUCGAACGGCAGCAUAGGAGCUUGCUCCUGAUGGCGAGUGGCGAACGGGUGAGUAAUAUAUCGGAACGUGCCCUAGAGUGGGGGAUAACUAGUCGAAAGACUAGCUAAUACCGCAUACGAUCUACGGAUGAAAGUGGGGGAUCGCAAGACCUCAUGCUCCUGGAGCGGCCGAUAUCUGAUUAGCUAGUUGGUGGGGUAAAAGCUCACCAAGGCGACGAUCAGUAGCUGGUCUGAGAGGACGACCAGCCACACUGGGACUGAGACACGGCCCAGACUCCUACGGGAGGCAGCAGUGGGGAAUUUUGGACAAUGGGGGCAACCCUGAUCCAGCAAUGCCGCGUGUGUGAAGAAGGCCUUCGGGUUGUAAAGCUCUUUUGUCAGGGAAGAAACGGUUCUGGAUAAUACCUGGGACUAAUGACGGUACCUGAAGAAUAAGCACCGGCUAACUACGUGCCAGCAGCCGCCGUAA
rnacentral:rRNA from 1 species